UGCAUUCUGCCCUAAAUCCACUUCACAGCCCACCUUAGAUUUUCAUGUCUCCUCAUCUCUUUCAAUCAUCGCCUAUAUAUAUUCCUUCAAACCUUUGCAUUGAUUCAUGACAAGGUUGAUUGAAGUCUCUAUAAUUUGUAUGUUCUUGAUCUAGGGUUUUUAAUAAUAUUUGUUGUAAAUUAGGGUUGUGGAGAAAGGAGCUUCCUUCAGUCCAGUCCGAGGCAGUCUGAGAGCUGAAAACCCAGCUGCUGACUCGUUGGUUCAUGAACUCAUCAUCGAACAAGUUGAUGGCGAUGGGUUUCUGAUCCAACGAUGCGGGAGCUGUGUUCAGUUUUUCCUGCCGCGUCUUGGACUGAAGGGAGCUCCCUAUUUUUAUCCACCAUCCCUUAAUUUUAUGUUUGCAUUUUAGUUUCCAUCUAUGUUUUCUUACGUCAAUCCUAUGACUACUCAGAAUGUGUUGUUUUAAUUAGACCAAUAAAUGAAGUCUCAUUUUCUUGAAAUGUGAGAAUUGCUUUAAUACCAUGUACCAUAAUGUUUUUGUGCCUAAAUAUUUCAUGUUUCAGCAGCAGCUAGCACAUGCAGAAAAACCACAAAAAACUAAAAGGGUUGACAAACAAAACUACACAAUUUCUCAAGUCCUGAUGACGGACAAAGGCUUCUGAUCUUCCGAAAAUAGACAGAAAUCAGGGAAAUGUUUAAUGAGCCAUUUGAGACUAGUUAAUGGAUUGGCUUCUGUGUAAUCAAUUCUAGCUUGGAGUAUACCAUGUUGUGUGUUCUAGUUUGAGCAACAUCGAUCCAAGGAACCAGUCA